GUGCUCACUUCGGCAGCACAUAUACUAAAAAAUUGGAACAAUACAGAGAAGAUUAGGAUGGCCCUUGCACAA
rnacentral:snRNA from 1 species